GCCAAACAUGGGAAUGACCUCUAAUAUGUGUCGGGUACAUAGAAAAAAGCGUAAAAAUGCCUUUUCUCUUUAUGGUUUCCAACAAAACGGUCACAAAAAGAAACUUCAGAUGAUAAGCAAUACCAUAAAGAUAACGACACACUGAAAGGUUCGAGUAACAUUUUUUUUACGAAUGAGUUAUUGAGUUGCAGGUACCUAUAUUAUGUAUUUCAAGUCAUUAUAAAGUAAACCAAAACAAUCUCGUGAAUAAUUUCACAUGAUUCAACAAUACCACAAACAAUAGUUUUAACUAAUGUGUUUUUAAUUGCUAUAUAUUUAAUAUGCUCACGAAACUUCAACUUCGAAAAAGUAAGGAAAUAAGUAUAAAAUAGAGAAAAAAAUGAAAUUGUAAGAUAU